AACGAACGCUGGCGGCAUGCCUAACACAUGCAAGUCGAACGAGACCUUCGGGUAUCGUGGCGCACGGGUGCGUAACGCGUGAGAACCUGCCCUUAGGUUCGGAAUAACUCCCCGAAAGGGGUGCUACUACCGGAUAAUGUCUUCGGACCAAAGAUUUAUCGCCUUUGGAUGGGCCCGCGUUGGAUUAGCUAGUUGGUAGGGUAAAAGCCUACCAAGGCGACGAUCCAUAGCUGGUCUGAGAGGAUGAUCAGCCACACUGGGACUGAGACACGGCCCAGACUCCUGCGGGAGGCAGCAGUGGGGAAUAUUGGACAAUGGGCGAAAGCCUGAUCCAGCAAGGCCGCGUGAGUGAUGAAGGCCUUAGGGUUGUAAAGCUCUUUUACCCGGGAUGAUAAUGACAGUACCGGGAGAAUAAGCUCCGGCUAACUCCGUG
rnacentral:rRNA from 1 species